CCUACGGGAGGCAGCAGUGGGGAAUAUUGCACAAUGGGCGAAAGCCUGAUGCAGCAACGCCGCGUGAGCGAUGAAGGCCUUCGGGUCGUAAAGCUCUGUCCUCAAGGAAGAUAAUGACGGUACUAGAGGAGGAAGCCCCGGCCAACUACGUGCCAGCAGCGGCGGUAAUACGUAGGGGGCUAGCGGUAUCCGGAAUUACUGGGCGUAAAGGGGGCGUAGGUGGUUUCUUAAGUCAGAGGUGAAAGGCGACGGCUCAAGCGUAGUAAGGCUUUGAAAAGGGGGAACUUGAGUGCAGGAGAGGAGAGUGGAAUUACUGGUGUAGCGGUGAAAUGCGUAGAUAUUAGGAGGAACACCAGUUGCGAAGGCGGCUCUCUGGACUGUAACUGACACUGAGGCACGAAGGCGUGGGGAGCAAACAGGAUUAGAUACCCCUGUAGUC
rnacentral:rRNA from 1 species